rnacentral:rRNA from 1 species
CCUACGGGAGGCAGCAGUGAGGAAUAUUGGUCAAUGGGCGCGAGCCUGAACCAGCCAAGUCGCGUGAGGGAAGACGGUCCUAUGGAUUGUAAACCUCUUUUGUCGGGGAGCAAAAGACGCCACGCGUGGCGUUCCGAGAGUACCCGAAGAAAAAGCAUCGGCUAACUCCGUGCCAGCAGCCGCGGUAAUACGGAGGAUGCGAGCGUUAUCCGGAUUUAUUGGGUUUAAAGGGUGCGCAGGCGGAAGAUCAAGUCAGCGGUAAAAUUGAGAGGCUCAACCAUAAAAUUGCCGUUGAAACUGGUUGA